rnacentral:rRNA from 1 species
UACGAAGGGGGCUAGCGUUGCUCGGAAUCACUGGGCGUAAAGGGUGCGUAGGCGGGUUAUUAAGUCAGAGGUGAAAUCCUGGAGCUCAACUCCAGAACUGCCUUUGAUACUGAUAGUCUUGAGUAUGGGAGAGGUGAGUGGAACUGCGAGUGUAGAGGUGAAAUUCGUAGAUAUUCGGAGGAACACCAGUGGCGAAGGCGGCUCACUGGUCCAUUACUGACGCUGAGGUGCGAAAGCGUGGGGAGCAAACAGG